rnacentral:rRNA from 1 species
AUUGAACGCUGGCGGCAUGCCUUACACAUGCAAGUCGAACGGUAACGGGCCUUCGGGUGCCGACGAGUGGCGAACGAGUGAGUAAUGUAUCGGAACGUACCUUUCAGUGGGGGAUAACGUAGCGAAAGUUACGCUAAUACCGCAUAUUCUGUGAGCAGGAAAGCAGGGGAUCGCAAGACCUUGCGCUGAUUGAGCGGCCGAUAUCAGAUUGGCUAGUUGGGGAGGUAAAGGCUCACCAAGGGGACGAUCUGUAGCGGGUCUGAGGGGAUGAACCGCCAGACUGGAACUGAGGCACAGGCCAGACUACUACGGGAGGCAGCCGUGGGCAAAUUUGGACAAUGGGGGCAACCCUGAUCCAGCCAUGCCGCGUGAGUGAAGAAGGCCUUCGGGUUGUAAAGCUGUUUCGGCCGGGAAGAAAUCGUAUCAGCUAAUACCUGGUGCAGAUGACGGUACCGGCAUAAGAAGCACCGGCUAACUACGUGCCAGCCGCCGCCGUAAUAC